UACGAAGGGGGCUAGCGUUGCUCGGAAUUACUGGGCGUAAAGGGCGCGUAGGCGGACAGUUAAGUCAGGGGUGAAAUCCCGGGGCUCAACCCCGGAACUGCCUUUGAUACUGGGUAUCUAGAGUCCGGAAGAGGUGAGUGGAAUUCCGAGUGUAGAGGUGAAAUUCGUAGAUAUUCGGAGGAACACCAGUGGCGAAGGCGGCUCACUGGUCCGGUACUGACGCUGAGGUGCGAAAGCGUGGGGAGCAAACAGG
rnacentral:rRNA from 1 species